rnacentral:misc_RNA from 1 species
GUGAAGAUAGCUAAGAGAACAGUUGACAGGAAGAAACAGUCCUUGGAGGCUUUUAUCUCAUAUGGAAUUUCAAAUUUAUCAAACUACUUGUUCGGAUCUAAGUUUGUUUCCUAUUUCAUGUACAGGAUUCUUUGUCAUAGUAGCUUUACCAUCUCCAAUAUGGCUGGACCAAAAGAUCAGGUUACUUUAGCAGGCAAUCCUAUAACAUAUAUAAAGGCUAACAUCACUGGCGUGCCCCAAGCAGUGGCAAUGCACAUGGUGAGCUAUGCAGGGAAAGCUGACAUGCAACUUGUGGUGGCCAAAGACAUCAUCCCUGACCCUCAAUUUCUUGCUAAAUGCUUAGAAGAUUCCUUGCUUGAAAUGAA